GUUAAUGUAGCAUAACCUGGACUUGCAAAAGAUCUAAGCCCUUUUAGUAGAGGUUCAAAUCCUCUCAUUAACU
rnacentral:tRNA from 1 species